GAAGGAGGGAGGCAGGCAGAGUGGCCACCACAGUUCUCUGCCCAGCCCAGCCUUUGCCAGAUCACAGCAAGAGCCCUCCUUACUAUUGCGAGUGAAAGAGUAGUUGGACAAAAAGACUGGGGGAAACCAGGAGGAGGAAGCCAUGCCACCGAAUCUCCCAUCUCAAAUACAGGGAGAAUGUCCAGAGUUACUAGUUUAAUAGUUCAUGCGAAGCUAUGGACAUAGUAUAUCCUGACAUUUUCAUAAACUACUCUGAGAAGGAGGCAGAAGAGAUGCUUUUCAAAUUUACAAAUGGCACAAAGCUGGGAGGAUGGGACAGUUAACCCCUUGGAAGAUAGAAUCAAGAUUCAAGCCUAUCUGGACAGGCUCCAAACAUUGGACCAAAACCAAGAAAGUAAAUUUCAACAGACCUAAAUGUAAAAUACUGAAUUUAUGAUUAAUAAAAUAAA